ensembl:snRNA U1 U1 spliceosomal RNA
AUAUUUUUUUAAAAGGGAUGAAUUUACACCAUGACCAGGAAGGUGGUUUUCCCUGCAGGAGCCUCAUUGCUUCAGAAAUGCUGAUGCCUGUGAAUUUCCCAGCAUGGAAAAUGUGACUGUGUCAUUUGUGCGAGGAGGGGCUUUGUUUGCAUGUUUCCCUG